UGUGAACUCGAAGAGUAGGGCGGGACACGUGGUAUCCUGUCUGAAUAUGGGGGGACCAUCCUCCAAGGCUAAAUACUCCUGACUGACCGAUAGUGAACCAGUACCGUGAGGGAAAGGCGAAAAGAACCCCGGCGAGGGGAGUGAAAAAGAACCUGAAACCGUGUACGUACAAGCAGUGGGAGCACCUUCGGGUGUGACUGCGUACCUUUUGUAUAAUGGGUCAGCGACUUAUAUUCUGUAGCAAGGUUAACCGUAUAGGGGAGCCGCAGGGAAACCGAGUCUUAACUGGGCGUUAAGUUGCAGGGUAUAGACCCGAAACCCGGUGAUCUAGCCAUGGGCAGGUUGAAGGUUGGGUAACACUAACUGGAGGACCGAACCGACUAAUGUUGAAAAAUUAGCGGAUGACUUGUGGCUGGGGGUGAAAGGCCAAUCAAACCGGGAGAUAGCUGGUUCUCCCCGAAAGCUAUUUAGGUAGCGCCUCGUGAACUCAUCUUCGGGGGUAGAGCACUGUUUCGGCUAGGGGGUCAUCCCGACUUACCAACCCGAUGCAAACUACGAAUACCGAAGAAUGUUAUCACGGGAGACACACGGCGGGUGCUAACGUCCGUCGUGAAGAGGGAAACAACCCAGACCGCCAGCUAAGGUCCCAAAGUCAUGGUUAAGUGGGAAACGAUGUGGGAAGGCACAGACAGCCAGGAUGUUGGCUUAGAAGCAGCCAUCAUUUAAAGAAAGCGUAAUAGCUCACUGGUCGAGUCGGCCUGCGCGGAAGAUGUAACGGGGCUAAACCAUGCACCGAAGCUGCGGCAGCGACACUAUGUGUUGUUGGGUAGGGGAGCGUUCUGUAAGCCUGCGAAGGUGUGCUGUGAGGCAUGCUGGAGGUAUCAGAAGUGCGAAUGCUGACAUAAGUAACGAUAAAGCGGGUGAAAAGCCCGCUCGCCGGAAGACCAAGGGUUCCUGUCCAACGUUAAUCGGGGCAGGGUGAGUCGACCCCUAAGGCGAGGCCGAAAGGCGUAGUCGAUGGGAAACAGGUUAAUAUUCCUGUACUUGGUGUUACUGCGAAGGGGGGACGGAGAAGGCUAUGUUAGCCGGGCGACGGUUGUCCCGGUUUAAGCAUGUAGGCUGGUUAUCCAGGCAAAUCCGGAUAAUCAAGGCUGAGGUGUGAUGACGAGGCACUACGGUGCUGAAGUAACAAAUGCCCUGCUUCCAGGAAAAGCCUCUAAGCA
rnacentral:rRNA from 1 species